CUGCACGAUUGUGACGAUAUGAAACUCAGCCCAGAUGAACUUGCACUAAAAUGCCGGUCAGAGAUAGAGAAGUUACAUUCCAUUAUCAGAGAAUAUCUGCGGUUGAAGAAGAGUCCAGGGGGCAAGCAACAUCAAAAACUUGGUUUCAACAAAGAGCUGGGUGAAUUAGUUCAUCAAGUUCUGCACGCAGAUUUUUACACUCUGCAGUGAGGGAAUCCAUUGCUUCCCCAGUGAUAUCCGUCUGUGUGGCAGUAGUCACCAUGCCUUCUUUUCAAAUCUCAGCGUGCACCACAUCUUCACCAGCAGGUUCCUGGGGGUGCUCAUCAGUGAGGAUCUCUCCUGGUCCACCAACCGCAUCACUGGCGAAGAAGGCCCAGCGCCACCUGUACUUCCUGCGGAAACUCAGGCGAGCGAGCGCUCCUCCGGCCGUCAUGACUACAUUUUACCGUGGCACCAUUGAGAGCGUCCUCUCCAGCUGUAUUGCUGUUUGGGGUGGCGGCUGCACUGACUACAACUUGAAGGCCCUGCAGCGCAUAGUGAACACGGAUGGUAAGAUUAUUGGUGCUUCACUCCCCUCCUUGAAAGACAUUUACAUCUCUCAUCUCACCCGCAAGGCGACCACGGUUGUGAGUAAUGUGAGUCACCCCGCUCACUCUUUGUUUGAGCUUCUGCCCUCUGGGAAGAGGUAUAGGAGCCUGCGCUCCCGCACCACCAGAGUCAACAACAGCCGCAUACUCCAGGCUGUUAGGAUCCUGAACUCUCUCCCCCCUUCUGCGUACCGUCCUGUACUUUCUUUUCGAAUCUCAGCGUGCACCACAUCUUCAGUUGAUCAUUUUCACAAGGGACAGACUGGGAAAUAUUGAAAAGUGCUACUGCUGCUGCCAAUGCCCUCUCGUGGUCUCUCUUG